GGCCGGUUAGCUCAGUCAGUAGAGCAUAGCGGUAACAAUGUUAAGGCCACGGGUUAGAUUCCCGUGCAGUCCC
rnacentral:tRNA from 1 species